ensembl:lncRNA
CUUCACUGCGACUUCAUUAGGACAACAACAACAACUCUGAUGUGCACGUUGCAAAGAUGUAUAUGAUCAUCUGCUUGCUCUCCCAUCGGUGCGGACGUGUCCCAUUCAGCCUUUGACUCAGCGCGAGCGUUUUUUAAAUGCUGUAACUAAGCUUCUUAGCUGGUUCAUACAAGUAAUCCUUUCCUAUCUCACCAUGCUGGAGGUCCACUGCCCUUUGCGUGCACAAUACAAAGGAAAAACGUACCCUCAGCUUAGCAGUUUUUAAUUGAUGACAUCUUGACGGCAUCUUAGCAGUAAAACACGUGACAUUUGUUGACUUUGAACGGAUCAAUUCUUCACUGAUCCAUUGGAUCGAUUAUGUGUUUGGACGUUAGACAUUUAGUUGCUAACAUGCUCAGUAAGACUUAAUGUCAAUGCUUAGCGGAUGUGUUUACCAUCCGCACCGCGUUGACUGGUGUUAAUGAACACAAAUGAUUGGAUUGUUAUUUGUUUUGCAGGUAUUUCAUCCUAAAUCAAAGUAUUGGACUGAAGUAAAUUGCCUGAACUGAUUUGAGCUGAUUCAUCACGAAUGUGAAUAUUGUCACAGGGAUUCAUCCUUUGGGAAACAGACGGGAAACCCGAGUGCGAAGACCAUAAUCCUGACCUUAAUGAACCCUAAGCUGACCUGACCCCCCUGAUGAACUCCUGAACUAAAUGCCUUAAGCGUAACUGCUGGGAGAUACCUGAGACAACUCCAAACCCAUCACGCACACGAUCGAUGUCCUCCUGCAGAGAUGAUUGAAGAACAAGCACCGUACGUACAACCAUUUAAUCCUACUUUUAGAAACACAGCGUAACCCAAGAUGUAAACAUUCAUCCUCUCUACCCAUAGCGCCUGCGUUGGCACUGGACCAGAAUUUGGAGGUGCAGAUGUGGACACGGUGGAGAUAUCUGAUGUCCAACAUUAAACCUGUGAGAUCUUCAAACAGGUGUUACUCCGUUUUAACCCCUGAGUUUCCAGAAGAACUACCAUCUCAAUCUUCUAUUUUGAGACACCAAUCGGUAUUUAAGUGCUUCAAACUAAGUGCUGUUGGGUGCAAAGGAUGCCGUCACUUUCAGUCUGGGCACUUUUUCUGAAUCUGACUCACACUUUCAGUGACUUUUCUGGAAUAAAAUAUUUCUCACUCAGCAUGUGAAAUUAACCUUUUUACAAUAUUUUUAUUUGGAAAUAUUGGCAGACACAGAAUAAAGUGAACAUUGUAUUUCUAUCUUUUCCUACAACAAACCACUGGUUCAUCCACCUAAAGAGCAGAAAGAGGAAAAGGUCACCUCAUUUUGCCGUGCCAUAGGUGAUUGUGUGUGUAUAUAUAAAUGUGUGUGUGUACAUAAACACACACUACAUCUGUAUGUACACACAUGCUUCCGUCUACAAUGUAAACACACAAUCAUUGCAUUCUACAAGCACAUUAUGCCCAAACAUCAAAUGACUGUAGGAUAAGCGAGUGGAAUCUGAAAUGAUUCCAGUGUACGUCACCCUCCGUUUACUGUUCAAACUCAUCUUCUGUAAAUAAUGAGCGUGGGCUAACUGGUUGUAUCAUGAAAUUGUCUGCGAGUAAUGUGAGCUCCUUGCUCAAGGGUGUAGUUGAUGAGGGAGGGAAGAAUCUGCUCCAUGAGUGCAAUUCUCUUUACCUUCACUGCAGCUGUUUUCAGUAAACGUUGCUCCCUUAAUAUGCUCUUUAUACCUGUUGGAUCAGAACUCAUCCUGCCUAUGAAUACAAAUGAACUCCACUCGCUGAGCUCGAUGCAAGUGAGAAUAACUUGCAAGCUAAAUCAAAACAAAGAAAGCCCCGUUUUCCCAGAAACUCAUUACAGAGCCGGCGAAGGCGGGUCUUCAUGUUGUCUCGCCUGAAUUGUAGUUAUCAGUAGGCCACCGCGAUGAAGCUCAAUUAGAGCAGCGUGCUGUAAGGUGAUCACCGGAGGAGAGGAACGGCAGUUCACCCCGAUCAGACAAGGCCAGGGGUUCACAACGGGACCUGGAGCCGUGGAGGGCGGCUAAUGAGCCUCCACGAUUCAC